CAAUAUACGGUAAUAAAAGUUAUGUGAAUGUGGUCUCUCUUUCAAAAUAUCUUAUUGUAUGUACUCACCCUUCUACUUGUAAUGAUGUGAGAUGAUAAAAUGCUUAGCGAUGAGAUGAAGUGAGGUGAACAGCACAUGCGUUGUGACGUAGCAUUAGGCUGCUGUUGACCUUCUGACAAUGUGUCAGGGGAUCAUCUGCUUCCGGAUCAUGGUUGAACAGGGUAACUGGAACCAGGAGAGCAAAACCGUGGGAGGGUCUUGUAGGUACUAAGAUGGGGGGUGGGGGCUGCUGUAGGUACAAUGAAUACAUAAAUAAGCUAGCUCUGAUGUAUUAAUUCUAAGCCUUUCUCAUCUGUUAAAAAGCCACCCCUUAAGAACUCCAGCUGUGGCAUACUUUGUUAAUCUAUUUGGGAUUAUAGUGUUGUUUUUGGAUUCUUGAAAAUACCUAAUUAGAGUACAGUCCUUGAGAUAUUUAGUAUUCAGAUCUUUUUCUAAUUUGUACUCCUUUCCUCUCAUCAUCCCUCAUAUACCCUCUCAAUGUGAUUAUACUGUAAAAUACUGUUGUAAGCUAGUGCUCAAAAAGUAUAGUCUUCAAAACUAAAAGACUUUAGGACUUAAAAUCUAUUGGAAAGUUAACAUAAAAAAAAUAGCUGCCACAUAGGCUCGUAAAGUACUUUCGUAGAUACUUAUUUGAUACCUCUUGCUAGAUGGCAGUUUCACCCCCUUGACUUCUUUUCGAUUUCUUUUUUCCCUUCUUUACAUUUUGGAAAUCACAGAUUUGAUGGUUAAAUUCAUAGGUUUUCUUUUCUUAGUCCAAACUGUUUUCAUUUCUCACUUGUACAGAAUUGAAUAUAUUCCUAAAGCAGAAGGGUUAGCUUGUCUUUCUUCUUCAGGCUUUAAAAAAAAAUUGAGUCUAAAUGUUGUUAGGUAAUGGAAUAACGAUUCCUUUUCAGCUGUUGGUUUAUUUCCAAACUGGCUGGCAGAGCCAGGAGGAAGUGGAGGCCUUAAAACACUAACUUUGGUUGGUUGCUCCCUUCUUAGUGCUGAGACUAUAACCUUUGUUGGUUGGUUGAUAGAGAACAAGAGAGCACAAUCCUCGUUCCACUAACAGGUAAGGAACCCUUCUGAUAACCAGUUGGCGUGAGAGAAAUUAUUUGAUAGCGUUUUUUUCUUAAUUUAUCCCCAAAUAUAACGUGUCCAUGAUAUAGUAUAGUGUGGCUGUAUUCUAUACAACAGGAAUGUGCAGCCCCUUUCUAUUUAGAGUGAGAUCUGAAAUUUAAUAGGGAUGUAUUACUCUGUACCACAAAGUAUAAUUGAUCUGUUUUCCACUAUUAAAAUUUAUUCUGCAGUCCCUAUAACUUUAAAUACAUAUCUGCUUAUCUUAUUCUCCUUUCAGCUUUUCCUUGAUCAGAUGCUAUGUGCUUUGAACUUCCUUCUCUUAUUUACCUUAUUCCUAUAAUAAAGCAGACUAUUUUCCAGUAUCUUUAUCAUCAUCUGUUAUUUGGGUAUAUCUUACUGCUUUAAUAUCUGCAUUGUAACCAUUAAUGAUUUAUUUCCUGGUCCUUCUUGACCCAAAACCAAAUGAUCAUACAUUUAAAAAAGAUUUUUAGAUUGUAUUACCUACUAUGUCCACUGCUCUGCCCUCCCACUUUUAAAUAUGAGUGCUUGAAGAAUAAAUCUUUUUCAGUGACAGUAGUCAUAACUUGAUAAAAUUUAGGCUUAGCUUUGUAUUGCUGUAAUAUGGGACUGUAGUCUGAUUAAUUCUUUAAAUUACUGAACACUUAAAAAUGAGAACAAAUUCAGCUUCUUAGACGAUUCCCAAAGUUUAGUAGUUUUUCUGUUAAUAUGCUUGAUUAUUCUGUUUCUCCUUUUUCAAUCCAUCUUCUUCUCUUUGACAGAAGAACUAACUGGGACUCCUCAUUUGAUAUCUCUGAGGUCGAGUGCCUUUCCCUGUCCCUUUAAGACAACUGUGCUCUUGUUUCUAGUCAUAAUUUAUCAGUUUUUGAUUCGGUCUUCCACUCGAAGUUGGGUGGUUUGUCACAGAGUAUGUUAUGGCUUACACCAAGAUAGGCCCCUUCUUAAUAAUUACUGAAGAAUUAAUCAUUUGUGGUGACAGAUUUCUAAAAUUCAAAUUAGAAAGGCACUAAAGAAAGUAUCCCCAAAGGUAGCUCCUUUUUAUCCUGAGGAUAAGUCAUUACAAACUCAAAUGACCAGAGAAUGUAAUUUCUUAAUAAGAAUUUUUUCUUAAAUCUAUAUUCAGCUCUCUAUUUCAGUGCUUCUCUCCUACCAGAGGUGCAAGGAGUGAUCCUAGAACCACAGAUACAGCCAAGACCACGGAGAGCUUUUGACGUCAGGGGUCCACUUUCUCCACUGAACCCUUGGAGGCAGAAUAUCCAGCUACUGGAGAGAGUGGGAAAGGAUAAUAAACAAAUUUCUUUCAACUGGUAAACAUCAUACUUCUUCAGCAAAAGGAACUCUUCUAGCAGAGCCUUCAUGGAUGAUCUCUGUCACACAUGCAGCACCUGCAGUUUGGAAGGCAGUGGUGAACGGAGCCACGCACUAUAUCUAGAAGACACAAGGAUGAGAGAGCCACCUGAUCUUGUCAUUUAUAAACUUUAAGAUUUAUUCUGGUGUACUCUUGGUCUGGAAAUGGAAAGGCUCAAAUAAUGAAAUAAUUUUUUCAGAUUGGAGUUUUACAUGGCCAUGCAAAUAUUCCUUUCUAUUCAGAAGACUGAAAUAGAGGCAGUAUGAGAGACUCCUUUCUUUUAAAAGCAGCUCUCUGUUUCACUUAAAAGAUUUGUGGGAUUGAAAAUCACCUUAAUGAAGCAGGCAACCCCCCCCCUUUUUUUUAAGUAUUAUAGGAGAUCCCAAAAACUUCUGGAACUGUUUUUUGUUGCCUGACACUGAAAAGAACUAGUAAAUAAAAGGUGAAUUUCUUAAUUAUUCCCAAAUUACUUUUAGUAUUAGGAUACAGUCUUUAACUUCUCUUUUUCUGGUCUUGAGCCUUAAUUCUUAUUUGUCAAAUCAACAAAGAUUCCAGUAUGGAGUAGGAGAGACAUCUUUUGAGAUCAAAGUAGCUUGGGCAGUCUUCUAAAAUAGUAAAUACCUGUUAAAUUUGAGGUAUUGUUCUGCAUUAAAGGCAUACUAAAGUUUGAAUGAUACUGAAAUGAGAAAGUAUUUUAUAGAGCAAAGGCAAUAUUAGAAUAAGCCUCUACAUGUGAAGAAGUGUUGCAAAAUAGUUAUCCAAAUGGAAGGAGUUAACAAAAUGUUUCUGUUUUUCUCUUUGGUAUCUAUUAACUGGUCAGUCAAAAGCUAUUAAAGAAGUUUUUAAAAGUUACCUGAUGCUGCCAGUUUGUUUUAUUUGGUAUACUUUUUAGGAAUAGAAAUUCUAGAGUUAAGCAUCUAAAUGUUUUAGGGAUCUUGAAGGUCUUAGGAACCACAUUUACUAAGUUUAUAACCUGGCCUUUAGUCUUUCUUUCCAUGAGACCUGUUUUUUUUUUUCUCAUUAAUUAUAAAUUUUUGUAUAGUACUUAAAAGUUUAAAAGAUCAAUUUGAACUAAAAUUUCUGUAGGGAGCUCUGAAUUCCCAUGAAUGAUUACAGCUUUUUAUGCUUGAUUUAUUGUUGUUAAAUACGAAUAAGACCGUCUUUACAAACACAUAAAUUAAAAAAUACCCACCAUUUUAGAACUCAGGGGAAAUGAAAGUGAAAUUUGCUUGGAAAUUAAGUUGAACUCUUUGAACCAUAGUACCAACCAGUUUAUGGCCUGUGCGAUUAUUAGCCUUUUGUUUCAGCUUUAAAGAUGAAAAGUGAUUUAAUCUCUUAACUUCAUGCUUUGAUUAAAUUUUAGCUCUGUUCCUUAAAGUGUGCAAAAGAAAUGUAAGUGCAUUUCCAUUCACCUCAUGCCACUAAAAGCUAUUUUAAAGUGAAACUUUUUGUAUAUUAAUGUGAACUGAUUUGUUUAUUUAAACUUUUAUUUUGAUACAUUUUCCUUUCAGAUUUUUUUAUAUUUCGUGUCACUAUGCAAUCCUAUAUUUUUCAGUGUUUAUUUUAUGAUUAUUAGUAUAAGCUAAUUUUUUUCCUAGAAUGACUAAUUGUGUAAUAUUUGUAUUAUGUGAUCAUUUGAAAACUAAUAAAUAUUUUCUCCAUGAAAAAAA